rnacentral:rRNA from 1 species
GACGAACGCGGCGGCGUGCCUAAUACAUGCAAGUCGAACGAACCGCGACUAGGUGCUUGCACUUGGUCAAGGUGAGUGGCGAACGGGUGAGUAACACGUGGGUAACCUACCUCAUAGUGGGGGAUAACAGUCGGAAACGACUGCUAAUACCGCAUAGGACAUGGGAUCGCAUGAUUCUGUGAGGAAAGGUGGCGCAAGCUAUCGCUAAGAGAUGGACCCGCGGUGCAUUAGCUAGUUGGUAGGGUAACGGCCUACCAAGGCGAUGAUGCAUAGUCGACCUGAGAGGGUGAUCGGCCACAUUGGGACUGAGACACGGCCCAAACUCCUACGGGAGGCAGCAGUAGGGAAUCUUCCGCAAUGGACGCAAGUCUGACGGAGCAACGCCGCGUGAGUGAAGAAGGUCUUCGGAUCGUAAAGCUCUGUUGUUAGAGAAGAACAGCGCAUAGAGUAAACUGUUAUGCGUGUGACGGAU